UUAAGAAAUUUUUAUUCUUAAAUCAUAUGAUAUUUGAUACAAUACUCUAAUUUUUUUAGUUUUCAAAUAAUUAUUGAAAAUUUAAAGACUUAUUUUUUUUUUAAAAAAAAUGAAGUUCGGUUUGGUCGAUUUAAACCGACCAAACCGUGGAUUAAAACGGUCGGUUUUUUUUACAUUUGUAUAAUGGUCGGUCGGUUUUUGGAUUAUAACCAUGAAAAUCGAAAAAUCAAAUUUUGGAUUUUUUUGUGUAAAAAAUCGACCAAACCGACCGUUGCUCACCCCUAAGUGCUCCCACUCAAUUGUACUACCAUGCUCCCAAGAUGUAAGUAUUGGGCCGACCCAUUUGGUCAGCUUUAACGAACAAGUUAAAGAAUACAAAUAAUACAGUUAAGCCAGAACUUGACCAUCUCAAGACUAAGAUCUAUUGAUCUAAGAUCAACUAAGUGAUAUUGACUUACAAAGAUAUAAUAGUAAGUUUAUGAUAUCUUAUCCUAGUUCAAUAUCGGUUCAGUCCGAUGUAUACUCCAUAACCAACUCCUUGGAAAUGACAUACCACUUAUCCAAGUGUAAGUAAACUUUGUCGCAGAUUAUUACGUCAAUGUAAAUCCACUGCACCGAUAAAUCAUGUGACUAAAACUUUAAAGCAUAUAAUCACAAUUACUCUUCACUAUGAAGACAUCACUGUAAUUGUGAAUAACUAUAUGUUCUGAAUUUAUUAGAAAUUGUAAAUUAAACCAUAAUUACAAAAAUAAUAUGUAAAAUUAAAUGACUUUUAAUCUUCUAUUGAUAGAAAAUAAGAUUAUAUUGAAAUGAGUUUUAUUUAGGGCAUAAAAUCCCAGCAGUUGGUUCUCUGGAUCAUCUUUUCGAUCGUUCACAUUGGACGUAUCCCUACCUCUCGCAUCGUUCGGUUGGGCGGGCUCAGGCAAGAGGGGGUUUACUUCCUCCAUGACCAUCUUGAGGCCACCUUGAAGAGUCUUCCUAGGAACUGUCUUUCAUGUGAACACCAUGACCGUAACAGUGGUUUAUGUCUUUCUUCAACUCUCAAUGAAAACACCAAAAUAUUUACUGAGAUUUUCGGAAACCAAAUAUUUAAGAACUAAAGAGAUUACCUAUUGUAGAAAUAAAGAGAUGAAGGUUUUUUGCUUGGUUCAAGUGUUAAUAAACCUUAGUCCACGAGUCAGUCUAUUAGCCUCUUAGGGCAAGUUUGAUGUGUUUAUAGUAUUUUGAUAGAAAACCCUAACUCUGUACUCUAAGAUUCUCUUGAAGAAGGAGAAUACUUGGAGCAAUCUUGGAAGAGUUUUAGCUACGUGAAUUGUGAUGCCCCCUUCGUAUGAGAAUCAAGGGGUAUGUAUAGGCUAAGUGGUGGGUAUGGAAAACCCCAUGACCCGCCUUAGGUAUCCGCUAAAAUCCCACUAUUGGAGUAAAUUACAUGCAAUAUCAGAGCUAACCAAAUGAUCCCAUGGGAAACAAUAUGCCCAUGUGUGCUACAGCUGGAUAAUGGGGAUCAUUUUGUUCCAUAUGGCCAUGUAGCAUGCAAAUGUUCAAUCUUUAAAAGUAGAGGCCUCGUGUAGCUCAAAGCUGGCUCCUUUAUGAGUAGGGGUCUGUAAUAUUUUCCUGGAAAAAAGGUGGUGGUGGUAUGCACCUACUAUGCUUGGAUGUAGGAGAGAAGAUCUAAUCUUUGUCAUAAAAAGUAUAACCAUUACUUGGGUGACUUGGUGUGCAUAAAAAGUUAACAUUUGCGACACUCCAUAAUGGUCGAUAUCCACCUUAGACCUUUUACGUACCCGUUUGGGCACCACCUUAGUGAGUUUCUCUAUAAGACCCUUCCAGGUCUAGGAGAAACCAUUCGUCUACUACAUUUGGGAAGCCAAGGUAGAAAUAAGUAGGCUUUUGUGUGUCUUUCUAUCCCAGAUAAUUCCCAGUUCCACAGGCUUUCCCAUGACAAAGUUGCAUCAAAGAAUCUUGAUUAGGGAAGGAUUAAAUUGAUCUUCCUCAUUAAAUGCCGCAUUUUGUACUUUGUAAAAACACGGAUAACACACUAUUUUUGGAUUGCACAUCUGCAUGUCUUUGAGUAAAAUUACUUAUAGCUAUGUAAGUCUUUUCUUUAUUUUUCCUUGUUUGUAUAUGAUUUCAUAAUAUCAAUUACUUUUCAUAGUAUGAUAUAAAUUUAUAAUUCUUAGUCAUUGAGUUGUGGUCAUAUCUUAUCUGAGCUAAAGUGAAAACAGAAGACAAUUGGAUUAGGAAAUGCAGUGCCAUCAUGCUUAUUUGAAAUGUGCAAUCCAAAGAUGUAAACUAAAAGUAAUUUAAAAACACGCCCAGUUGAAAAAUGUCACCUAGGUUACUUGGGGAUUGAGUGCUCAAAAUCUUUCAAUGAGGAAGAUAAGAAUCGAAUGUAUACAAUGUUUGAGAUUGACAGUUGCUGUUUCUGAGAUUUGUGUCUGAAAUUGGCAACUUCAAAGAAAAAUGUAAUGACCGCAUAGUUAAAUCAUGAGAAUUAGUAGAUAUUUAAGGAUUUUAAUACUAAUGUAUGAUUAUAUGCCUCUUAGUAGAAAUUAGGGCUUAUUGUCAGAAAUAUAUCUUAGGAAAGUAUUUUUUUUAAUUGCAGAGAUAUAUUUGAAUGUUAAGUGUAUUAUAUAUACUAUUUAUGAAUUUAUGAUUUUCAUGUUUUGUGCUUGAUAACAGUAGAAUGUGAUGAUUUGGCCAAUAGAGUUACUCAGAUAUGAUUGAGUGUCUUAGAAUUAGCAGGGUUAGUUAGACAUUUAGAAUGUCGGGAGUUAUCGGGGUUAUGGUUUUGGACCAUUUUACCCCUAGAAGGUAAGGUAUCUUCCUAGUAAAGCAAAGGGUAAAAUUGUCUUUUGGAUUUAUUUUAUUAAUGGAGAAUAAAUGAUCUUUCUAGUAAUAAUCCUUAAGUUUAUUUAGAUUUUAUUAAGUUGAAUAAAAUAAUUAAUUUUCAAUUAUCCAAACUCAUCACACAUAACUCUUCUCCCUUUCUCUCUCUUGGGGUUCGACUACAAGAAAACACAAGGAAACCCAACCCCUUUUCUCUAUUAUUUAGACCAAAUCAAGAGAAUUCAGCUUAGGUUUUUGUGGUUUAAUUAUUGAGAAGGUUAAGAUUCACCCUUCUUUAUACUUUAAAGAAGCAUUUCAACGGAAGGAAUAGGAUUCUCGGCCGAUGCCUCGGUUGACUGUGUUGUGGCCAGGAGAAAUGUUUCUGAAAGAGGUAAGAUUGAUGGAGAUAAGAUGACCAGCGGGCAUAGAGAUAAAGAGCAGUCGAGGCGCUCAUUCCACCGUUGUCUUUUGGUUAGUCUUCAGAGGGAGUUUUCUUUUCCUAUAUUUUAAUUAUUAUUAUUAGUUUCUAUUUCUCUGUGACUGAAUUUCUAGGAAGAAAUGAUGUUCUGCAAAGUUGUUACCGAAAAAAAGUUAAAGGAGUUUCAUUUUCCGAUGACGAGGGUGGUAGCGGAAUAACCAGAGACAUGAUUUGGGUUGUUUUGGUUUAAGCUUUAUUAGUUUUUAUGGUAAAUUAUAUAUUAUAAUUAUUACAUUUAUUAUUUUCAUAUAUAUAUUUAUUACAUUUAUUAUUAUAUUUAUAUAAUUAUAUAAUUUUAUAUAAUUUUGACUUUUGUUAUUAAUAGUAUCUUUUCUUGAUUUUUUCCU